rnacentral:misc_RNA from 1 species
GCCGGAAGUAAUGAAGCAGAUGCCGCCUCUUCCGGUGAAGGUGAACGAAGAGUUAGCGAACACGAUCCUUCCACCGACUGCUCAUUCCUUGCAAUCAUGAAAAGCCUUCAACAAAAACUGGUUCAGCAAACAACAGAUUCUCCCUUUCAAAUCAGUUCCACAAACAUGGAAAGGAGAGUAGAUUUUCUCAAUUGAACCUUACCUUCCCAAUUCAGAGUUUUCUG